UACGGAGGGUGCGAGCGUUGUCCGGAAUCAUUGGCGAAAGGGCGCGUAGGUGGCCCGGUCAGUUCGUGGUGAAAGCGCGGGGCUCAACCCUGCGUCGGCCAUGAAUACUGCCGCGGCUGGAGCACUGUAGAGGCAGGCGGAAUUCCGGGUGAGCGGUGGAAUGCGUAGAGAUCCGGAAGAACACCGGUGGCGAAGGCGGC
rnacentral:rRNA from 1 species